ensembl:lncRNA
CUGGAUGACAGGGUCCUCGAGUAGCCUGGUGAAGGCCUCGUGGUGCUCAGGCAGCACUGAGGACAGGUGCUUCCUCUUCUUCCUCUUGAGGCCAGAAGGCUUCUCCACAACACUUGUGUGUGUUAAAGGCACCAGGCCUAGCCGUGGUGAUGGUACCUGCUGCUUCUUCCCAACAGGCACAGAUACUCCCCCCACCUCUUUGCGGGAGCCUGAUGUCUUCCCUGGGGCUGAGUCCAAGCACAGGGACUUCGCCCCUGCUCAUCCUCCUUAGCCUUGAGUGACCACUCCCUCUUCCACUCCUGGCCACAGGACUGAGGUGAGAGGCUGGGAUUGCCCCUCAGGGCUGAGUCAGAACCCCCUGGGGACGCUCCUCCUAUUUCCCUCUCUGAUUCUGAAUCUUCAAGUGAGGCAUCCUUCCGCUUCUGGACAGGCAGCCGAAGCCAGCAAGAAGGGCGCCCAGCCUAAGCCUUCUAUGAAGAGACUCAGCAGGCCCUCCUGCAGCUCCUCCUCAGACUCUGAAGACCAAUCUCUCUUCCUCUUCUGAACCCAUAGUUGAGGCAGCAGGCGGGUGCGACCCAGACACACCUUGGAGCCCAGGCGACUUCUUAAGUGGGCCAGGCAUGGUGGUGCAUGUCUGCAAUCCCAGUACUUAGGAGGCUGAAGCAGGAGGAUGUAAGGCUGAAGAGUCUCCACUGGAAGCCAGGAGACAAUGUCAAAGGUGAUGGGGAAGACUGGAGUGCUUCAGAAGGAACAGAAGUUCGGUGUGCGACUGGGGCCCUGGAAGCCAGAGCAGGCGGGUACAAAGGGAAAACCACAGGCUCCGAGGAGAAGCAGCAGCGUGACGGGUAGGGGAGAGGUCCAGAGGGAGGCCCCCAACUGCACAGGACAGGUGAGGAGGCCCGGAGAGUGGGGAGGGCUUUGCAUGUGUGGAGCUCCGAGGGCCUGGCUGAGAGGCAGGAGGAAGCAGCUGCAGUGCAGGAGAAAGCCGGCAGCAGACAGAGGUGGGGCUUCAGCAGCACACGUGCAGCCCAGGCUGCCAGGGAGUACGGGGUGGUGCGUUCGAGAAUGGGCAGGAGGCAGAGGGAGCCCCACACUCCCGGAAGCUCAGGAGGAAUAUGGGAUAAAAGGAGCCCUGGGGAGGGUGGCUGUGCCCAUGUUCCUCGCUCCCCACGGACACCCCCCCUGCCUCACCAGGCCUGGGAGUCAUUCACACCGGCAGUGUAAACACCAAGGAAGCUCUCCUGACCAGCAAACCCUGACCUCCUACCCACAGGGGCCCUGACCUGCUGUGUAUAAAUCAGUCACAUGCUGGGAGUGGUGGCGCACACCUGUAAUCCCAGCCUCCUGGAGGCUGAGGCCCGAGGUGAGUUCAAGGCCAGCCUGGACUCCACAGUGAGGCCUUGUGUGGCGGGGGCAGGGUUGCACAGACGUGAGUGUCACUGUGGAGUCAGCAGGUCAGGCAGGUCGCCUACCCUCACUGUCACAGCUGUCCCCUCUGUCAUCCUCACCACGGGUACCCACAGCUGGAGGAGAGAAGCAGGUUCUCCCUGCAAACCCUCAUCUCUCGGGAAGGUUGGGGAAAGACCCUGUUCUGAGCACCUUCAGACCGGCUCCAGCAAGACCUCGCCCUCUCCCUCUCCUCCCCAGCCCAUGGCAUUGGAGCUGCCGCGUGGUGCGGACAUUCGGUGAACAGAUCACCAUUGGCUGCAUCGUCUGUCCUGCUCCCUGGGCUCUCACCAAGAGCCAGCCGCUGGCCUUAAGCUCUCCAGAUCAUUCUCGACCUCCUCUUGAGGUCACCACCCUGAUCCUUGCUGGAGGACACACAGCGAGGGAGUGAGCAGCUAGCGUCAAGGUGCAGGCUUAUCUAACGCUCAAGCUACAACCCCUGUGUGCAGUUUACAGCAUGCCCCCCCCCCUAUUUAUUUGGGCAGUUCUGAUGGAUUGAACUCAGGGCACUUCACAAGGGAGCUACAUCCCCAGCCCAUUUUUUACUUUUAUUUUGAGACAAGCUCUCACUAAUUAGCUCAGUUACCCAGGCUGGGGCUCAAACUUCCAAUCCUCCUUCCUCAGCCUCCUGGAGAGCUGAGAUUACAGGCAUGCGCCAUCACACUCAAUUCUAUUUGGAGAACAUUGACAUGGGAUGGGCUCUUAGGGACAUGGUAUGAAUGCUCUUAUCUGGGCUGGGGAUUUAGCUCAGUGGCACCUGGCCUGCCUUGUGAGCUCAGGGUCCUGAGCUUAAUCCCUAGUAUGGGGUGGGGGGAGUAUAAAAUCAAUGCUCUUAUGUUUCACACAAGACUUGCUGGAAGAUAAGUUAGGUAGAACUCUCUCGAAGACACUGGCACAGGAAAAGACUUUAUGAACAAAACCUCAGUAGCACGGAAACUAGCACAAAGAAUCAACAACUGGAAUCUCAUCUUACUAAAAAGCUUCUGCACUGCAUGAGAAACCACAAACAGAGCUAAGAGACAACCUACAACGUGGGAAAAAAUUUUUACCAGCUGUUCCUCAGACAAAGGUCUACUACCUAGACUAUAUAAAGAAGUCAAAAAAAAUCAGACCCUCCAAAUAUAAAGACCCAAUUCAAAAAUGGGCAUCUGAUGGGCAGGGGGAUUUAGCUCAGUGGUUUCGCUGCCUGUCUUGCAAGCACAAGGUCC